GGGCGGCGGAGGGGUGACUGCACAAGGAGGCAUUAAGCUGUCCUGAGGAUCACUGUUCCCAAAGAGCCUGCAUCCACAGUCCAGGCCUGGAAAAAAGGGGAUUCCGGGCAAAUCCCCUAGGUCUUAUGAGUCACUGCUCCAGGCAGGAGAAACGGAAAAUCCCUUGGCCAGAGGCGCCAAGACCGGGCUGGAGGCCAAAGGAAACUGGGGGCGGGAGGUAGAGGCCGCGGCUCACAUGCUCCCACCACUGGCCCCCGGAACAGCUGGACAGAGAAUCUGUGUGCCCGGUCGCCCUCUGCCGCCCUCCUGCCGCCUGCCACACCCAUCGAAAGCUGCUGCCUCAGCCCAGGGCAAAUCUGAGCUGAGACCGGCGUGACCCUCCGGGCGGGAGCAGCAGCCACGCUACCGGAACCCCGCGGGCCUAACCCGGCUCCCUCCCGCCUACACCCCCAUAGACCCCGGCCCGGCUUCAGGUCCCCUGCCCGCUCUUCGCGUCCUUGUCCUGUUCUCACGUCCCUCCUUCCUCCCUUCCCAUCUCCAUCACCGCCAGCAGAUGACCUUGUCAAGGCUGGAAGGGACCGCAAAGAUCCUCAGGUUAGAGGAGGAGAUUAAGACCCAACCCGGGAAGACUGGGGGGUCCAAGGUCCUCGGCCCGCUCGCGCGCGGUCGGUCACCAGCCCCGGCUCACCCGAGUGUGCCCCCGGAGCCCACCUCCUGAAGCGCGCGCUCCUGCUCCAGCGGCACCAGCUCGUGGCCGCGGUGCUCCUGUGCGGCGCAGGACAGCGCGGCGGGCAGGGCCGCGCCCUCGGGGCACGCGUCGCAGCGCACUGGCUCUUCGCCCGCGGGCCACGGCUCGGGAGCGCAGGGGGCCGACGGCUCCGGGACACUGGGCAGCGCGCUGGGUGCCGAGGGCUCCGGGGCCAGGGCAGGGGCCGGGCCGGGGCCGGACCCGGGGCCCGAGCCCUGGCGGAGCUGCAGCAGCUCGGACAGCGUGUGGUUCUUGCGGAGCUGAAGGCCGUCGGGGAAGGGCUCCUGGCACAGCGGGCAGCGGGCCGCGCCUCCGGGUCCGCCGGCUCCACUCGCGCCACGAUGCGGCCAGAGCGCGCCCAGGCAGGCGAGACAGAAGUUGUGGCCGCAGGGCAGCGUCACCGGCUCCCGGAGUGGCUCUAGGCAGAUGGGGCAGCUGAAGGGUCCACUGCCGUCCAUGACUCCGCGGCCGCCCAGGGCGCCGCCGAUUGUGCUCCGGCCUGGGAGGGACCCGGGCCGUUCGCGCCGCGGCACCUCCCCCUGGGACCUAGGCCAGGGCUCCGGCCCCCGCCCGCCCCCAGCUCGGCCCGCCCCGCAGCACCGCCCGCCUGCGGGCCCGCGGACUCCCAGUCCCCGCCCAGACAACGCAGGGAGGCCUCCGAGCCCGCGCGACCCCCAGGGGAGUCCGCGUGGUCCUAAGGAAGGGCGCUGCUGAAAGGGUGUGAAACUGAGUGAGCGCGGGCGGAGAACGCGAGAGGUACAGUGGAAGGAAUGGGAAGGACUCAGCCUCCAUCCCUCUGGUCCUUCUGGGCCAGGCCAGCGCUCCGCAGGGGCUGGGCGCGUCUAGCUGUGUCAUGCCUGCACCUUUGCGCUCGACCCCUCCCUGGCACCCUUAGCAAAGUUCCUGAGCUGCUGACUGCAGAGAAAAAUAACUGCUGAUGUACAUAUGUUUUUGCCCCUUAGCGACUCUUUUUUUUUUUUUUUUUGAGACAGAGUUCCUCUCUUGUCGCCCAGGCUGGAGUGCAGGGGCGCUAUCUCGGCUCACUGCAACCUCCGCCUCCCGGAUUCAAGUGAUUCUCCUGCCUUAGCCUCCCAAGUAGCUGGAAUUAUAGGCGCUUGCCACCACACCAGGCAAAUUUUUGUAUUUUUUUGUAGAGACGGAGUUUCACCUUGUCCAGGCUGGUCUUGAACUCGUGACCUCAGGUGAUCCACCUGCCUCGGCCUCCCAAAGUGCUGGGAUUACAGGCGUGAGCCACAGCGCCCAGCUCCUUUAGCGACUCUUUACCCCAAGUAGGGAACUUGGACUUUUCUAGACCUGAAAUGGGAAGUUGACGUCAUUCCCUAAGUCCCUUGUCUGAGGAAUGUAGUUCUGGCCCCUGGACACUGGGGACACCUGUGGUGGGGUUGGGGGUUCCCCAACUGGAAGUAUUUAAAGCUCAUCUAAUUAUGCACUUAAAGUGGUGCGUUUUAUUGUAUGAGUUAUAUCUCAAUAAUGUUAAGUUAAAACACUACACCAGAAUGACAACAAAAUAAGUAAAGUAGCACUGAUUAUAACCCAAAGUGUAAAAUAAACAUCUAUGAGUCCAUGCCGAUAUAAAUAAAUAAUAAAUUAACAAGCUGGGGAGAACAGACAUAUUUCGCAUUGAAAAUUCCAAAUAAUGUUUUUUUAUUUUUAUUUUUUUAGAUGGAGUUUCGCUCUUGUCGCCCAGGCUGGAGUGCAGUGGCGCAAUCUCAGCUCACUGCAACCUCUGUCUCCUGGGUUCAAGCGAUUCUCCCUCCUCGGACUCUUGAGUAGCUGGGAUUACAGGCGCCCGCCACCACAUUUGGCUAAUUUUUGUAUUUUUAGUAGAGACGGGGUUUCACCAUGUUGGCCAAGCUGGUCUCGAACUGCUGACUUCAGGUGAUCCACCCGCC
rnacentral:lncRNA from 10 species